AUACGGAGGAUGCGAGCGUUAUCCGGAUUUAUUGGGCUUAAAGGGAGCGUAGGCGGGAUAUUAAGUCAGCUGUGAAAGUUUGGGGCUCAACCUUAAAAUUGCAGUUGAUACUGGUUUCCUUGAGUACGGUACAGGUGGGCGGAAUUCGUGGUGUAGCGGUGAAAUGCUUAGAUAUCACGAAGAACUCCGAUCGCGAAGGCAGCUCACCGGGCCGGAACUGACACUGAUGCUCGAAAGUGCGGGUAUCAAACAGGAUUAGAUACCCUGGUAGUCCGCACAGUAAACGAUGAAUACUCGCUGUUUGCGAUACACUGUAAGCGGCCAAGCGAAAGCGUUAAGUAUUCCACCUGGGGAGUACGCCGGCAACGGUGAAACUCAAAUGAAUUGGCGGGG
rnacentral:rRNA from 1 species